rnacentral:lncRNA from 1 species
GAAGGCAUGUCUAACUUGAUCAUAUGAAUGUGCAUAAAUCAUGCUCUGGGUUGGCCACUGCAUGAAUACUCCAUCAUUGGGGGUCUGACUGAAUCCCAUGGCAUGGUACGGGCUAAGAACAGGGUUCCUGUAGUUUGGUGAAGCUUGAGCACUGGGCAACUGACUCAUCUGAGGAAAAACAGCAUCAUAAUGCACAUAUGGAGGCUGAAACUUCUGCACAUCAAAAGGUGCCACGCUAAAGCACUGACCAGAUGGAACACUCUUAACAUAUCUGCAUCAGUUUAAAAGACAAAUGUACCAUCUUCAGACACUAUUUCAUGUUUUAAAUUAUCGCAGAACAGAGAGGAGAAUCAAAAGUUUAAGAAAUUUAGCCAAAAGACAUAUAUUCUUAGUUUGAAAUAUAGUAAGGUAACUGAGAUGAAGCAUUGCAAAAUAUACAGAUAUAUGAACAACUGGCUGCAGAAGGCCAAUAACUUACCUAACAUAAUUCCGGUCAUAAUCAGGGUCACUCAGCUCUUUCUCCCUGUCCCUAAAGAUGGCAACUCGGGAAGAAGUACCACCUUCUCUGUUGCUGAUGCUUUUCUCCAUAUCCAAGAGUAACCUGUUUGAACAUUCAUUCUCAUCUAUGCUGUUCUUGAGGUCAGAAGCAACACGAACCAAAUUGUCUCUAGUCUCAGAGUUAAUAGGACUAUUAAAAAUGCGUGCACGUGCCCUGUCAUACUCCUCUUUUCUCUCUUCCACAGUUCUUACUUGACUGCGUUUUGCACCCAAUUCACUAUCUUUCGAAGAGGUGUUACUCGGCCUUGGUUGUAUUACUAUUUUCAUCUUCUCAUAUUUGUCACUGUCAGAUUGUUUAGGUGGGACAUCCGAUAAACGCACAGCAGGGUAUUUGCUUUCAGGUUUUCUUGUCACCAGGAUUUUGGCUCCCUGACCAUCCACAACAUUAUCCUGAACCAUAGUCUGCAAACCAUAGUGUUGAGCAACACGGUGCGCAGCAAGACGAAGGUAGGAAGUAGGAAAAUGUGGCAACUCUAACUGUUGCACGUCG